rnacentral:rRNA from 1 species
GACGAACGCUGGCGGCGUGCUUAACACAUGCAAGUCGAACGGUGAAGCCCUUCGGGGUGGAUCAGUGGCGAACGGGUGAGUAACACGUGAGCAACCUGCCCCUGGCUCUGGGACAACCACUGGAAACGGUGGCUAAUACCGGAUACGACCCGCCUCGGCAUCGAGUGUGGGUGGAAAGUUUUUCGGCUGGGGAUGGGCUCGCGGCCUAUCAGCUUGUUGGUGAGGUGAAGGCUCACCAAGGCGACGACGGGUAGCCGGCCUGAGAGGGCGACCGGCCACACUGGGACUGAGACACGGCCCAGACUCCUACGGGAGGCAGCAGUGGGGAAUAUUGCACAAUGGGCGAAAGCCUGAUGCAGCGACGCCGCGUGAGGGAUGACGGCCUUCGGGUUGUAAACCUCUUUCAGCUCCGAAGAAGCGAAAGUGACGGUAGGAGGAGAAGAAGCACCGGCUAACUACGUG